UGCGUCCGGACGCAGGCCCCGCCUCUCCUGGGGACGGGGCCUGAGGACGAGAGGCGGGACGUUCGAGGCGGGACGUUCGAGGCGAGGAAGGUGCGAAAGACAAAAACCGGAUUCAAAGCCAUGAACAUGAUGAAUACUGCCUCCCGGCCGGGUCCAGCUCACCUGACUGCCCAUCCUUGAUAACCAUGCAAGAACAGCACUGAAGGGGCUCAGGGGGAAGAUGGCAGCAGAGGAGGACGCUGGGCUCACCUCAUCCUGCUGAUCACUUAGAUUCCACCCACACUUGCUUAAAUAACCCAGAAAACCGCCAGAAGACUAGCAGAAUGGACUCUCUGGAGCCAAGCGAAGACAAGAGGCCCACGGAAGAGGGUAGGAAGGGCAGAGAGGCGGUGCGCGCUUAUACUGUUUGUACAUGUAUCACUUUUUCACCUGGAAACAAUGCAAUGUAUAUGCACCUUAAGGCCACAAAUAGAGCAGUGAGUAAUGUUCACUACAUUCUGUACUCUCAUGGAGUUUGCAGUCCUGUUGGAAAAGUCAGAAAUACUAAAAGAAAAUAAAUGCUAUUUUAGAUAUACAAGUAUAAAUAUGAUUGUUUUAAAAUAAAUAAAUAAUUUUAUAUGAUUAUUUAAAGUAAUGGAACCAAAUGGAGGGAGGUAGGUAGACAUUUAAAACAUUUCAAUUCCAGUAUAAUUAGCAUACAGUAUUAUAUUAAUUUUAAGUGUACAAUAUAGUGAUUCAGCAAUUUUAUACAUAACUCAGUGCUUAUCAUGAUAAGUAUACUCUUGAUCCCCUUCACCCAUUUCACCUGUCCCCCCCUCUUCCUUCCCUCUGGUAAUCACCAGUUUGUUCUCUAUAGUUAAAAGCCUGUCUUUCUGUUUAUCCUGUUUUUUACUUUUUUCAUUUUCGUUUCUUAAAUUCCACAUUUGAGUGAAAUCAUAUGGUAUUUAUCUUUCUCUGACUUAUUUCACUUAGCAUUAUACCUUCUAGAUCCAUCUAUGUUGUCACAAAUGGCAAGAUUUCAUUCUUUUUUUUAUGGCUGAAUCAUAUCCCAUUGUAUACAUAUGCCACAUCUUCUAAUUUAUCUAUUCAUCUAUUGAUGGACACUUGGGUUAUUUCCAUAAUUUGGCUAUUGUAAAAAUGCUUCAAUAAAUGUAGGGGUGCAUAUAUAUUUCUGAAUUAGUGUUUUUGUUUUCUUUGCGUAAAUACCCAUUAGUGGAAGUACUGGAUCAUAUAGUAAUUCUAUUUUUAAUUUUUUGAGGAACCUUCAUACUGGUUUCCACAGUGGCUGAAGCAGUUUGCAUCCCCACCAACAGUGCACAAGGGUUCCUUUUUCUCCACAUCCUCGCCAAUACUUGUUAUUUCUUAUGUUGUUGAUUCUAGCCAUUCUGACAGGUAUGAGGUGAUAUCUCGUGAUUUUGAUUUGCAUUUCCCUAAUUAUGAGGGAUGUUGAGCAUCUUUUCCUGUGUCUGUUGGCCAUCUGUUUGUCUUCUUUUAAAAAAAAUAUUUUUAAUCUUUAUUUAUUUUUGAGAGACAGAGCAUGAGCGGGAGAGGGGCAGAGAGAGAGACACAAACACAGAAUCCGAAGCAGGUUCCAGGCUCCGAGCCAUCAGCACAGAGCCUGACUUGGGGCUGGAACUCAGGAAAUGUGACAUCAUGACCUGAGCUGAAGUCGGAUGCUUAACCGACAGAGCCACCCAGGCGCCCCUCAUCUGUUUGUCUUCUUUGGAGAAAUGUCUAUUCAUGUUUUCUUCCCAUUUUUAAAAUAAAUCCAGUAUAGUUAACAUAGUAUGUUAUAUUAGUUUCAGGUGUACAAUAUAGUGAUUCAACAAUUCUAUACAUUACUUGGU